AUACGUAGGUGGCAAGCGUUAUCCGGAUUUAUUGGGUUUAAAGGGUGCGUAGGCGGUUUGCUAAGCGGGAGGUGAAAUGCCGGCGCUCAACGUCGGAAGUGCCUCCCGAACUGGUGGACUUGAAUGACUCUGCCGUGGGAGGAAUGUGUAGUGUAGCGGUGAAAUGCUUAGAGAUUACACAGAACACCGAUUGCGAAGGCAUCUCACGAAGGGUUGAUUGACGCUGAGGCACGAAAGCGUGGGGAUCAAACAGGAUUAGAUACCCUGGUAGUCCACGCAGUAAACGAUGAUGGCUAACCGCUGGGCUUAUCAGUUCAGUGGCCAAGCGAAAGCGAUAAGCCAUCCACCUGGGGAGUACGACCGCAAGGUUGAAACUUAAAGGAAUUGACGGGG
rnacentral:rRNA from 1 species